GACGAACGCUGGCGGCGUGCCUAAUACAUGCCAGUUGAGCGCUGAAGGUUGGUACUUGUACCAACUGGAUGAGCAGCGAACGGGUGAGUAACGCGUGGGGAAUCUGCCUUUGAGCGGGGGACAACAUUUGGAAACGAAUGCUAAUACCGCAUAAAAACUUUAAACACAAGUUUUAAGUUUGAAAGAUGCAAUUGCAUCACUCAAAGAUGAUCCCGCGUUGUAUUAGCUAGUUGGUGAGGUAAAGGCUCGCCAAGGCGAUGAUACAUAGCCGACCUGAGAGGGUGAUCGGCCACAUUGGGACUGAGACACGGCCCAAACUCCUACGGGAGGCAGCAGUAGGGAAUCUUCGGCAAUGGACGAAAGUCUGACCGAGCAACGCCGCGUGAGUGAAGAAGGUUUUCGGAUCGUAAAACUCUGUUGGUAGAGAAGAACGUUGGUGAGAGUGGAAAGCUCAUCAAGUGACGGUAACUACCCAGAAAGGGACGGCUAACUACGU
rnacentral:rRNA from 1 species